AGCUCUGGAUUAAACGUCUGUUGGCCUAUCCCGCGAGGUAUAACACUAAUUGUCUGGUUUUAUGUCCGUUAAAAAGUUAAUCUGUCGCGGAGCUGUGGUGUAGCUGCAGACACACAAGAUCAUUGCUUCAUCUGCAUGUUACGUUACUCCGUAACACGAAGAGAUAACGCGAGCAGCAGAAUGGUUCAAAUCUCCUGGCGCUUCAAGGGAUCACACGGUUUAUUUCGGUUUAUUCAGCACGAAGAAUCCGCAAGGGAAGAAGCGUGUUCAUACGGGAGAUGUGACACAAGGGGCUGUCGCUGCAAAGGAGACACAAUGCGACAAGAAAAGACCCCAAAACACCAACG